GUGAGCCGCAUGCGGGGAUACUCGCACGUACGGUUCUUAGGGGGAAAAUACCGGCGCCCACCCGGCUAGAGGCACAGAGAAACUAAUGGAAUACAAAACGUAUCUUCAAGCUCUACCUUAU
rfam:Picea glauca, whole genome shotgun sequence.